UACGUAGGGCGCAAGCGUUGUCCGGAAUUAUUGGGCGUAAAGAGCUCGUAGGCGGUUUGUCGCGUCUGCUGUGAAAACCUAGGGCUCAACCUUGGGCUUGCAGUGGGUACGGGCAGACUAGAGUGCGGUAGGGGUGACUGGAAUUCCUGGUGUAGCGGUGGAAUGCGCAGAUAUCAGGAGGAACACCGAUGGCGAAGGCAGGUCACUGGGCCGCAACUGACGCUGAGGAGCGAAAGCGUGGGGAGCGAACAGG
rnacentral:rRNA from 1 species